rnacentral:rRNA from 1 species
UUCUCCUUUUAACUUAAAUUAAAAUAUUUUAACAGUCUAGUAAAGAAGAUUAAAGAACUUUUAGGAGCUUUAAAUUUGUACCGAAAGGGAACAAUGAAAUAAAAAUGAAAAAUCCUAAGCACAAUAAAGUAGAGACUUUAUCUCGUACCUUUUGCAUCAUGGUUUAGCUAGUCUGACUAGGCAAAAAGAUCUUAAGUCUAACCCCCCGAAACUAAAUGAGCUAAUUUAGGACCGCUUAAUGAGCUAACCCGUCUGUGUUGCAAAAUAGUGGGAAGAUCCUAGAAUAGAGGUGACAUACCUAACGAACUUAGUGAUAGCUGGUUUCUCAAGAAAAGAAUUUUAGUCCAACCUAAAUUGAUUAAAGCCCCUACAAGUCCCCAAUUCACUUUAGAGCAACUCAAGUGAGGUACAGCCCACUUGACACAGGAUACAACCUCUACUAACGGGUAACACCCCCCCCACACCUUUAAGUGGGCCUAAGAGCAGCCAUCUUUAAAAAGCGUUAAAGCUUAAUUGUCCGUUAAUUCUAAUCCAAUUACCCCCAUGAAACCCUUUAAUAGUACUGAGAACUUCUAUAACUUUAUAGAACAUUUUAGGCUAAAACUAGUAACAAGAGGUAUCCCCUCUCCCAAUGCAAGCUUAGGCCAGCAAGAACCCAUCACUGGCAAUUAACGGACCUAGCUAAAAGUAGCAACCUCCCUAGAAAACCCUACUUCUACCCCCCCCCCCGCCCGUUAACCUAACACCAGAGCAUUUCAAGAAAGAUUAAAAGAAAAAGAAGGAACUCGGCAAACAUCAGUCCCGCCUGUUUACCAAAAACAUCGCCUUUUGUUCCCCCCCCCCAUAAGAGGUCCAGCCUGCCCAGUGACUUUGUUCAACGGCCGCGGUAUCCUAACCGUGCGAAGGUAGCGUAAUCACUUGUCUUCUAAAUAAAGACCAGUAUGAAAGGCAUCACGAAGACUAAACUGUCUCCUUUUUCUAAUCAGUGAACCUAAUCUCCCCGUGAAGAAGCGAGGAUUUUACCAUAAGACGAGAAGACCCUAUGGAGCUUAAAACAUCACACACCUGCCACUUACCCUACUACCCCGGUAUCUCCCCUAUGGCAACCUGAUUGUAUGUUUUUGGUUGGGGUGACCGCGGAGAAAAAUACAUCCUCCAUGAUGAAGGGGACUUCCCCUAAACAACAAGCCACAACUUAAUGUAUCAACAAAUUGACAUCUAUUGACCCAAUAUUUUGAUUAACGAACCAAGUUACCCUAGGGAUAACAGCGCAAUCCACUUUAAGAGCCCCUAUCGACAAGUGGGCUUACGACCUCGAUGUUGGAUCGGGGUAUCCUAGUGGUGCAGCCGCUACUAAAGGUUCGUUUGUUCAACGAUUAAAACCCCACGUGAUCUGAGUUCAGACCGGAGUAAUCCAGGUCAGUUUCUAUCUAUGAAGAGUUAUUUUUAGUACGAAAGGACCAAAAUAACAUGACCAAUGCCUUAGCAAGUCAUAAUAAAUAAUUUUUAACCCC